rnacentral:rRNA from 1 species
UUAAGCGACUAAGCGUACACGGUGGAUGCCCUGGCAGUCAGAGGCGAUGAAGGACGUGCUAAUCUGCGAUAAGCGUCGGUAAGGUGAUAUGAACCGUUAUAACCGGCGAUUUCCGAAUGGGGAAACCCAGUGUGUUUCGACACACUAUCAUUAACUGAAUCCAUAGGUUAAUGAGGCGAACCGGGGGAACUGAAACAUCUAAGUACCCCGAGGAAAAGAAAUCAACCGAGAUUCCCCCAGUAGCGGCGAGCGAACGGGGAGGAGCCCAGAGCCUGAAUCAGUGUGUGUGUUAGUGGAAGCGUCUGGAAAGGCGCGCGAUACAGGGUGACAGCCCCGUACACAAAAAUGCACAUAUUGUGAGCUCGAUGAGUAGGGCGGGACACGUGGUAUCCUGUCUGAAUAUGGGGGGACCAUCCUCCAAGGCUAAAUACUCCUGACUGACCGAUAGUGAACCAGUACCGUGAGGGAAAGGCGAAAAGAACCCCGGCGAGGGGAGUGAAAAAGAACCUGAAACCGUGUACGUACAAGCAGUGGGAGCCUCUUUUAUGGGGUGACUGCGUACCUUUUGUAUAAUGGGUCAGCGACUUAUAUUCUGUAGCAAGGUUAACCGAAUAGGGGAGCCGAAGGGAAACCGAGUCUUAACUGGGCGUUAAGUUGCAGGAUAUAGACCCGAAACCCGGUGAUCUAGCCAUGGGCAGGUUGAAGGUUGGGUAACACUAACUGGAGGACCGAACCGACUAAUGUUGAAAAAUUAGCGGAUGACUUGUGGCUGGGGGUGAAAGGCCAAUCAAACCGGGAGAUAGCUGGUUCUCCCCGAAAGCUAUUUAGGUAGCGCCUCGUGAAUUCAUCUCCGGGGGUAGAGCACUGUUUCGGCAAGGGGGUCAUCCCGACUUACCAACCCGAUGCAAACUGCGAAUACCGGAGAAUGUUAUCACGGGAGACACACGGCGGGUGCUAACGUCCGUCGUGAAGAGGGAAACAACCCAGACCGCCAGCUAAGGUCCCAAAGUCAUGGUUAAGUGGGAAACGAUGUGGGAAGGCCCAGACAGCCAGGAUGUUGGCUUAGAAGCAGCCAUCAUUUAAAGAAAGCGUAAUAGCUCACUGGUCGAGUCGGCCUGCGCGGAAGAUGUAACGGGGCUAAACCAUGCACCGAAGCUGCGGCAGCGACGCUGAUGCGUUGUUGGGUAGGGGAGCGUUCUGUAAGCCUGUGAAGGUGUGCUGUGAGGCAUGCUGGAGGUAUCAGAAGUGCGAAUGCUGACAUAAGUAACGAUAAAGCGGGUGAAAAGCCCGCUCGCCGGAAGACCAAGGGUUCCUGUCCAACGUUAAUCGGGGCAGGGUGAGUCGACCCCUAAGGCGAGGCCGAAAGGCGUAGUCGAUGGGAAACAGGUUAAUAUUCCUGUACUUGGUGUUACUGCGAAGGGGGGACGGAGAAGGCUAUGUUGGCCGGGCGACGGUUGUCCCGGUUUAAGCGUGUAGGCUGGUUUUCCAGGCAAAUCCGGAAAAUCAAGGCUGAGGCGUGAUAACGAGGCACUACGGUGCUGAAGCAACAAAUGCCCUGCUUCCAGGAAAAGCCUCUAAGCAUCAGGUAACAUCAAAUCGUACCCCAAACCGACACAGGUGGUCAGGUAGAGAAUACCAAGGCGCUUGAGAGAACUCGGGUGAAGGAACUAGGCAAAAUGGUGCCGUAACUUCGGGAGAAGGCACGCUGAUAUGUAGGUGAAGUCCCUCGCGGAUGGAGCUGAAAUCAGUCGAAGAUACCAGCUGGCUGCAACUGUUUAUUAAAAACACAGCACUGUGCAAACACGAAAGUGGACGUAUACGGUGUGACGCCUGCCCGGUGCCGGAAGGUUAAUUGAUGGGGUCAGCGCAAGCGAAGCUCUUGAUCGAAGCCCCGGUAAACGGCGGCCGUAACUAUAACGGUCCUAAGGUAGCGAAAUUCCUUGUCGGGUAAGUUCCGACCUGCACGAAUGGCGUAAUGAUGGCCAGGCUGUCUCCACCCGAGACUCAGUGAAAUUGAACUCGCUGUGAAGAUGCAGUGUACCCGCGGCAAGACGGAAAGACCCCGUGAACCUUUACUAUAGCUUGACACUGAACAUUGAGCCUUGAUGUGUAGGAUAGGUGGGAGGCUUAGAAGUGUGGACGCCAGUCUGCAUGGAGCCGACCUUGAAAUACCACCCUUUAAUGUUUGAUGUUCUAACGUUGACCCGUGAUCCGGGUUGCGGACAGUGUCUGGUGGGUAGUUUGACUGGGGCGGUCUCCUCCUAAAGAGUAACGGAGGAGCACGAAGGUUGGCUAAUCCUGGUCGGACAUCAGGAGGUUAGUGCAAUGGCAUAAGCCAGCUUGACUGCGAGCGUGACGGCGCGAGCAGGUGCGAAAGCAGGUCAUAGUGAUCCGGUGGUUCUGAAUGGAAGGGCCAUCGCUCAACGGAUAAAAGGUACUCCGGGGAUAACAGGCUGAUACCGCCCAAGAGUUCAUAUCGACGGCGGUGUUUGGCACCUCGAUGUCGGCUCAUCACAUCCUGGGGCUGAAGUAGGUCCCAAGGGUAUGGCUGUUCGCCAUUUAAAGUGGUACGCGAGCUGGGUUUAGAACGUCGUGAGACAGUUCGGUCCCUAUCUGCCGUGGGCGCUGGAGAACUGAGGGGGGCUGCUCCUAGUACGAGAGGACCGGAGUGGACGCAUCACUGGUGUUCGGGUUGUCAUGCCAAUGGCACUGCCCGGUAGCUAAAUGCGGAAGAGAUAAGUGCUGAAAGCAUCUAAGCACGAAACUUGCCCCGAGAUGAGUUCUCCCUGACCCUUUAAGGGUCCUGAAGGAACGUUGAAGACGACGACGUUGAUAGGCCGGGUGUGUAAGCGCAGCGAUGCGUUGAGCUAACCGGUACUAAUGAACCGUGAGGCUUAACCUU